UACGAAGGGGGCUAGCGUUGUUCGGAUUUACUGGGCGUAAAGCGCACGUAGGCGGACCGAUCAGUCAGGGGUGAAAUCCCAGAGCUCAACUCUGGAACUGCCUUUGAUACUGUCGAUCUGGAGUAUGGAAGAGGUGAGUGGAAUUCCGAGUGUAGAGGUGAAAUUCGUAGAUAUUCGGAGGAACACCAGUGGGCGAAGGCGGCUCACUGGUCCAUUACUGACGCUGAGGUGCGAAAGCGUGGGGAGCAAACAGG
rnacentral:rRNA from 1 species